UACGGAGGGGGCUAGCGUUGUUCGGAAUUACUGGGCAUAAAGCGCACGUAGGCGGCUUUGUAAGUUAGAGGUGAAAGCCCGGGGCUCAACUCCGGAAUUGCCUUUAAGACUGCAUCGCUAGAAUUGUGGAGAGGUAAGUGGAAUUCCGAGUGUAGAGGUGAAAUUCGUAGAUAUUCGGAGGAACACCAGAAGCGAAGGCGGCUCACUGGCCCAAUACUGACGCUGAGGCGCGAAAGCGUGGGGAGCAAACAGG
rnacentral:rRNA from 1 species